rnacentral:antisense_RNA from 1 species
GAGAAAAACCUGAAAACGCUAAGAGGUGGAGUGACAACUUGCAUUCAGCUGUUUCAGAAACAUUGUUGACCACCUACUCAAUGUGAAGAUGACGAAGAUGAAAGCCUUUAUGAUGAUCUACUUCCACUUAAUAAAUGUACUUAUCCAUGUGCCUGAAAUAUAUUAGUUGAUCAGUAAAUGUUGCAGUAAAUGAAGGAGGAAUGGAAAGGAAAAAAAGAAAGAAAAAAAUGAAUGGCAUGCUAUCUGGAGGGUACAAGGAAGAUUUAAGCCAAAAGCAUAACCCUGCAACAAAAAUCACCAUGUCUAGAAUUCAACCAUUAAAGAUUUAAUUUUUCACAUUAA